AUUGAACGCUGGCGGCAGGCCUAACACAUGCAAGUCGAGCGGAUGAGUGGAGCUUGCUCCAUGAUUCAGCGGCGGACGGGUGAGUAAUGCCUAGGAAUCUGCCUGGUAGUGGGGGACAACGUUUCGAAAGGAACGCUAAUACCGCAUACGUCCUACGGGAGAAAGUGGGGGAUCUUCGGACCUCACGCUAUCAGAUGAGCCUAGGUCGGAUUAGCUAGUUGGUGAGGUAAAGGCUCACCAAGGCGACGAUCCGUAACUGGUCUGAGAGGAUGAUCAGUCACACUGGAACUGAGACACGGUCCAGACUCCUACGGGAGGCAGCAGUGGGGAAUAUUGGACAAUGGGCGAAAGCCUGAUCCAGCCAUGCCGCGUGUGUGAAGAAGGUCUUCGGAUUGUAAAGCACGUUAAGUUGGGAGGAAGGGCAGUAAGUUAAUACCUUGCUGUUUUGACGUUACCAACAGAAUAAGCACCGGCUAACUUCGUG
rnacentral:rRNA from 1 species